GACGAACGCUGGCGGCGUGCUUAACACAUGCAAGUCGAACGGUGAAAGAAGAGCUUGCUCUUCUGGAUCAGUGGCGAACGGGUGAGUAACACGUGUGUAACCUGCCCCAGACUCUGGAAUAAGCGCUGGAAACGGCGCCUAAUACCGGAUACGAUACAGAGCUGCAUGGCUACUGUCUGGAAAGUUUUUCGGGCUGGGUUGGACUCGCGGCUUACCAGCUUGUUGGUGAGGUAACGGAUCACCAAGGCAACGACGGGUAGCCGGCCUGAGAGGGCGACCGGCCGCACUGGGACUGAGGCACGGCCGAGACUCCUACGGGAGGCAGCAGUGGGGAAUAUUGCACAAUGGACGAAGGCCUGAUGAAGCGGCGCCGCGUGAGGGAUGACGGCCUUCGGGUUAUAGACCUGUUUCAGCAGGGAAGAAGCGAAAGUGGCGGUAACUGAAGAAGAAGCACCGGCUAACUACGUG
rnacentral:rRNA from 1 species